UAUUGUUCUCAUGUCACAAUAUGCCA
rnacentral:piRNA from 1 species